rnacentral:rRNA from 1 species
AGUCUGGUGCCAGCACCCGUGGUAAUUCCAGCUCAAUUAGCUAUAUUAAAGUUGUUGCAGUUAAAAAGCUCGUAGUUGAACCUCUGUUUGGGACUAGUUUUGGCUUCUGUCAGGUUAGUUUCAAGCAUCCGCUUGCAAAACCUAGCCGUCAUUCACUUGUCGCUAGGAGGAGCAGGCAUUUUACUUUGAAAAAAUUAGAGUGUUUAAGGCAGGCAAUUGCCCGCAUAUAUUAGCAUGGAAUAAUAGAAUAGGACACUUUUCCAUUUCGUUGGUUAUUGGAAUCGUGUAAUGAUUAAUAGGGACAGUUGUGGGCAUUUGUAUUUAAUUGUCAGAGGUGAAAUUCUUGGAUUUAUUAAAGACAAACUAACGCGAAAGCAUUUGCCAAGGAUGUUUUCAUUAAUCAAGAACGAAAGUUAGGGGAUCAAAGACGAUCAGAUACCGUCAUAGUCUUAACUAUAAACUAUUCCGACUCAAUGUUCGACUGGCUUAUAUAACCAGUUGAGCGUUGUAUGAGAAAUCAAAGUCUUUAGGUUCUGGGGGGAGUAUGGUUGCAAAGCUGAAACUUAAAGGAAUUGACGGAAGAGCACAACCAGGAGUGGAUUCUGCGGCUUAAUUUGACUCAACACGGGGAAACUUACCAGGUUAAAACAAUAGUGGGAUUGACAGUUUGAGAGCGCUUUCUUGAUUCGUUGGGUGGUGGUGCAUGGCCGUUCUUAGUUGGUGGAGUGAUUUGUCUGCUUAAUUGCGUUAACGAACGAGACCUUAACCUGCUUACUAGACUGCCGAUGUAUAAUCGACAGCUCUUCUUAGAGGGACUUUGGUUGUUUUAACUCCAAGGAAGUUUGAGGCAAUAACAGGUCUGUGAUGCCCUUAGAUAUCCUGGGCCGCACGCGUCAUACAAUGACCAGUUCAGAAAGUUUCAUCCUGAUCCGGAAGGAUACGGGUAAUCUUGACAGUACUGGUCGUGUUAGGGAUCGAUCCUUGCAAUUAUAGAUUUUGAGCGAGGAAUUCCUAGUAAGUGCAGUUCAUCAGACUGUACUGAUUACGUCCCUGCUCUUUGUACACACCGCCCGUCGCUUCUACCGAGUGAGUGGUCCGGUGAGAUACUUGAACUUGGCCGGAUUUAUCCGAUCGGGGAAGAUUAUCAAACCUAUCCACUUCGAGGAAGAAGAAGUCGUAACAAGGUU